rnacentral:rRNA from 1 species
CCUACGGGGGGCAGCAGUGAGGAAUAUUGGUCAAUGGACGAGAGUCUGAACCAGCCAAGUAGCGUGAAGGAUGACUGCCCUAUGGGUUGUAAACUUCUUUUAUAUGGGAAUAAAAUGUUCCACGUGUGGGAUUUUGUAUGUACCAUAUGAAUAAGGAUCGGCUAACUCCGUGCCAGCAGCCGCGGUAAUACGGAGGAUCCGAGCGUUAUCCGGAUUUAUUGGGUUUAAAGGGAGCGUAGGUGGAAUGUUAAGUCAGUUGUGAAAGUUUGCGGCUCAACCGUAGAAUUGCAGUUGAAACUGGCAGUCUUGAGUACGGGAGAGGUAUGCGGAAUUCGUGGUGUAGCGGUGAAAUGCUUAGAUAUCACGAAGAACUCCGAUUGCGAAGGCAGUUCACUGGACUGCAACUGACGCUGAGGCUCGAAAGUGUGGGUAUCAAACAGGAUUAGAUACCCUUGUAGUC